rnacentral:rRNA from 1 species
UGAGUAACCUGCCCUUUACUCUGGGAUAACUCCGGGAAACCGGGGCUAAUACUGGAUAUGACUCGAACAGGCAUCUGUUUCGGGUGGAAAGAUUUAUUGGUGGAGGAUGGACUCGCGGCCUAUCAGCUUGUUGGUGAGGUAAUGGCUCACCAAGGCGACGACGGGUAGCCGGCCUGAGAGGGCGAUCGGCCACACUGGGACUGAGACACGGCCCAGACUCCGUACGGGAGCA